UUAGGAAUAUUGGACAAUGGGGGAAACCCUGAUCCAGCCAUGCCGCGUGUGUGAAGAAGGCCUUAGGGUUGUAAAGCACUUUCGUCUGUGAAGAUAAUGACAGUAGCAGAAGAAGAAGCUCCGGCUAAAUUCGUGCCAGCAGCCGCGGUAAUACGAAUGGAGCGAGCGUUGUUCGGAAUCACUGGGCGUAAAGCGUGCGCAGGCGGUUUUGAAAGUUAGAAGUGAAAGCCCAGGGCUUAACCUUGGAAUUGCUUUUAAAACUUCAAGACUAGAGUACUGGAGGGGUUGGCGGAAUUUCGAGUGUAGCAGUGAAAUGCGUAGAUAUUCGAAGGAACACCGAUGGCGUAGGCAGCCAACUGGACAGUUACUGACGCUCAUGCACGAAAGCGUGGGGAUCAAACAG
rnacentral:rRNA from 1 species